rnacentral:rRNA from 1 species
CCUACGGGUGGCAGCAGUGGGGAAUAUUGGGCAAUGGGCGCAAGCCUGACCCAGCAACGCCGCGUGAAGGAAGAAGGCCCUCGGGUUGUAAACUUCUUUUGUCAGGGACGAAACCCAUGACGGUACCUGACGCAUAAUCCACUGCUAACUACGUGCCAGCAGCCGCGGUAAUACGUAGGUGGCAAGCGUUAUACGGAUUUACUUGGUGUAAAGGGCGUGUAGGCGGGAGAGCAAGUCAGAUGUGAAAUUCCAGGGCUCAACCCUGGAACUGCAGUUGAAACUGUUUUUCUUGAGUGAUGGAGAGGCAGGCGGAAUUCCGUGUGUAGCGGUGAAAUGCGUAGAUAUACGGAGGAACACCAGUGGCGAAGGCGGCCUGCUGGACAGUAACUGACGCUGAGGCGCGAAAGCGUGGGGAGCAAACAGGAUUAGAUACCCCUGUAGUC